GAGACCUUCCCAAAUGAAGGAAAACGUGGACCAUUCAAAGGAGUCAUCAAUACGUUUUCACUUGGCAUAAAGAGGAUGAGAGAGAAGAGAGAGUACAAAGAUGUCACACUGCAGCUGAUCUUUCUCAUGACAGAGGAAGAAAAAAUGAAGACAAAACUCAACAAAAUCAUCCGUGAG